CCUACGGGAGGCAGCAGUGAGGAAUAUUGGUCAAUGGACGAGAGUCUGAACCAGCCAAGUAGCGUGAAGGAUGACUGCCCUAUGGGUUGUAAACUUCUUUUAUCUGGGAAUAAAAUGUUCCACGUGUGGGAUUUUGUAUGUACCAUAUGAAUAAGGAUCGGCUAACUCCGUGCCAGCAGCCGCGGUAAUACGGAGGAUCCGAGCGUUAUCCGGAUUUAGUGGGUUUAAAGGGAGCGUAGGUGGGUUGUUAAGUCAGUUGUGAAAGUUUGCGGCUCAACCGUAAAAUUGCAGUUGAAACUGGCAGUCUUGAGUACAGUAGAGGUGGGCGGAAUUCGUGGUGUAGCGGUGAAAUGCUUAGAUAUCACGAAGAACUCCGAUUGCGAAGGCAGCUCACUGGACUUCAACUGACACUGAGGCUCGAAAGUGUGGGUAUCAAACAGGAUUAGAUACCCUAGUAGUC
rnacentral:rRNA from 1 species